UAUCUCUGUAGAGUCUGCAUAUCAAUAAGCGGAGGAAAAGAAACUAACUAAGGAUUCCCUCAGUAACGGCGAGUGAAGCGGGAAGAGCUCAAAUUUGAAAUCUUCAAGGGUUCUACCUUUACGAAUUGUAGUUUAAAGAAGUGUUUUCUGUUGGAGUUUUGGUAAAAGUUCUUUGGAAUAGGACAUCAUAGAGGGUGGAGAAUCCCGUAUUUGACCAGUUACUUUCCAGCUGUGUGGAUACACUUUCAAAGAGUCGGAUUGUUUGGGAAUGCAGUCCAAAAUGGGUGGUAAAUUUCAUCUAAAGCUAAAUACUUGGCGAGAGACCGAUAGCGAACAAGUACCGUGAGGGAAAGAUGAAAAGAACUUUGAAAAGAGAGUUAAACAGUACGUGAAAUUGUCAAAAGGGAAGCGUUUGACACCAGUGUUGUUUUCUCGAAAAUCAAUUAAAAAUGAUGGGAUUUUGUGUUGUAUUGACUUUAUCAGCUUUCUGCACUUUUUUCUUAUCUCUUUUAAUGCACUUUUCGUUUAACAAGUCAACAUCAAUUUCUUUUGUUGUAAAAGAGUCAUUGGAAGGUGGCUUUUUCUUCGGAAAAAGUGUUUAUAGCCUUUGGCUUCUGCAAUCGGAGAGAUUGAGGUCUGCAGCGUAGAUCCUUCGGGGUUAGAUACAUUUGUGCUAAGCUAUAGUUCUUUAUAGACAACUUGUUGACUAUAAUCAAUCCUGUAACUUGCUCGCUUAUGCUAUUUUACCUACGCUUAGGAUGUUGAUGUGAUACUGCGAGCA
rnacentral:rRNA from 1 species